rnacentral:rRNA from 1 species
CCUACGGGGGGCUGCAGUGGGGAAUAUUGGACAAUGGACCAAAAGUCUGAUCCAGCAAUUCUGUGUGCACGAUGACGGUCUUAGGAUUGUAAAGUGCUUUCAAUUGGGAAGAAAAAAAUGACGGUACCAAUAGAAGAAGCGACGGCUAAAUACGUGCCAGCAGCCGCGGUAAUACGUAUGUCGCAAGCGUUAUCCGGAUUUAUUGGGCGUAAAGCGCGUCUAGGUGGUUUGGUAAGUCUGAUGUGAAAAUGCGGGGCUCAACUCCGUAUUGCGUUGGAAACUGCCUAACUAGAGUAUCGGAGAGGUGGGCGGAACUACAAGUGUAGAGGUGAAAUUCGUAGAUAUUUGUAGGAAUGCCGAUAGAGAAGUCAGCUCACUGGACGAAUACUGACACUGAAGCGCGAAAGCAUGGGGAGCAAACAGGAUUAGAUACCCCUGUAGUCU